rnacentral:rRNA from 3 species
CUAAAAUGAGAGUUUGAUCCUGGCUCAGGACGAACGCUGGCGGCGUGCCUAAUACAUGCAAGUAGAACGCUGAGGACUGGUGCUU